rnacentral:rRNA from 1 species
AACCUUUACACUGCACGCCAGUGCGAUAAGGGGACUCCAAGUGCGAGGGCAUAUAGUCCUCGCUUUUCUGGACCGUAAGGAGGUCCAGGAACAAGGGCUGGGCAAGACCGGUGCCAGCCGCCGCGGUAAUACCGGCAGCCCAAGUGAUGGCCGCUCUUAUUGGGCCUAAAGCGUCCGUAGCUGGCCAGGCAAGUCCGUCGGGAAAUCCGCACGCCCAACGUGCGGGCGUCCGGUGGAAACUGCCUGGCUUGGGACCGGAAGACCUGAGGGGUACGUCCGGGGUAGGAGUGAAAUCCCGUAAUCCUGGACGGACCACCGGUGGCGAAAGCGCCUCAGGAAGACGGACCCGACGGUGAGGGACGAAAGCUCGGGUCACGAACCGGAUUAGAUACCCGGGUAGUCCGAGCUGUAAACGAUGUCUGCUAGGUGUGACCCAGGCUACGAGCCUGUGUUGUGCCGUAGGGAAGCCGUGAAGCAGACCGCCUGGGAAGUACGUCCACAAGGAUGAAACUUAA